CCAAGAAUAACGUAGAAAAUGCC
rnacentral:siRNA from 1 species